GAUGAACGCUGGCGGCGUGCCUAAUACAUGCAAGUCGAGCGAACAGACGAGGAGCUUGCUCCUUCGACGUUAGCGGCGGACGGGUGAGUAACACGUAGGUAACCUACCUAUAAGACUGGGAUAACUUCGGGAAACCGGAGCUAAUACCGGAUAAUAUUUCGAACCGCAUGGUUCGAUAGUGAAAGAUGGCUUUGCUAUCACUUAUAGAUGGACCUGCGCCGUAUUAGCUAGUUGGUAAGGUAACGGCUUACCAAGGCAACGAUACGUAGCCGACCUGAGAGGGUGAACGGCCACACUGGAACUGAGACACGGUCCAGACUCCUACGGGAGGCAGCAGUAGGGAAUCUUCCGCAAUGGGCGAAAGCCUGACGGAGCAACGCCGCGUGAGUGAUGAAGGUCUUCGGAUCGUAAAACUCUGUUAUUAGGGAAGAACAAACGUGUAAGUAACUGUGCACGUCUUGACGGUACCUAAUCAGAAAGCCACGGCUAACUACGUG
rnacentral:rRNA from 1 species